rnacentral:rRNA from 1 species
GACGAACGCUGGCGGCGUGCCUAAUACAUGCAAGUCGAACGCACGAAGUUGAAGAGCUUGCUCUUUAACCAAGUGAGUGGCGGACGGGUGAGUAACACGUGGGUAACCUGCCCAUUAGAGGGGGAUAACAUUCGGAAACGGAUGCUAAUACCGCAUAGUUUCAGGGAUCGCAUGAUUCUUGAAGGAAAGGUGGCUUCGGCUACCACUAAUGGAUGGACCCGCGGCGUAUUAGCUAGUUGGUGAGGUAAUGGCUCACCAAGGCAAUGAUACGUAGCCGACCUGAGAGGGUGAUCGGCCACACUGGGACUGAGACACGGCCCAGACUCCUACGGGAGGCAGCAGUAGGGAAUCUUCCGCAAUGGACGAAAGUCUGACGGAGCAACGCCGCGUGAGUGAAGAAGGUUUUCGGAUCGUAAAACUCUGUUGUUAAAGAAGAACAAGGAUGAGAGUAACUGCUCAUCCCCUGACGGUAUUUAACCAGAAAGCCACGGCUAACUACGUGCCAGCAGCCGCGGUAAUACGUAGGUGGCAAGCGUUGUCCGGAUUUAUUGGGCGUAAAGCGAGCGCAGGCGGUUCUUUAAGUCUGAUGUGAAAGCCCCCGGCUCAACCGGGGAGGGUCAUUGGAAACUGGAGAACUUGAGUGCAGAAGAGGAGAGUGGAAUUCCACGUGUAGCGGUGAAAUGCGUAGAUAUGUGGAGGAACACCAGUGGCGAAGGCGACUCCCUGGUCUGUAACUGACGCUGAGGCUCGAAAGCGUGGGGAGCAAACAGG